GUAUAGGUUUAUAGGCACAAGGCCAUUGAUUACAUUCUAUAACAUACAAUUGGGGUAUAUGAAGAAACAUAGGCCUGGAAAUGUAAGAAUAGACGUAAAGUCAAUCCCCAAACCCGAGUGACUAGCACUCAGAGAGAUAUCCAGGUCUACAAAAGGUGCACAGGUGGAGAUAUAAAGAUGACAAGCGUGCACAUGCUCCCAAGAGAACCAGCAGCAACUCAUCAGAUUUAUUUCAAUAAUGAUCCUUCCGCAGGUUCACCUACGGAAA
rnacentral:misc_RNA from 1 species